ACAGCAGUAGCCGCGGUAAUACAGAGGAUGCAAGCGUUAUCCGGAUUUAUUGGGUUUAAAGGGUGCGUAGGCGGCUAUUUAAGUCAGCGGUGAAAGACUCCGGCUCAACCGGAGCAGUGCCAUUGAUACUGGAUAGCUUGAGUGUUGGAGGGGUACAUGGAAUUGAUGGUGUAGCGGUGAAAUGCAUAGAUACCAUCAGGAACACCGAUAGCGAAGGCAUUGUACUGGCCAACAACUGACGCUGAGGCACGAAAGCAUGGGGAGCGAACAGGAUUAGAUACCCCAGUAGUCCCUGUCUCUUAUAC
rnacentral:rRNA from 1 species